UUCAGAGUUCCACGAUUUUGG
rnacentral:misc_RNA from 1 species